UUAGAAAGUGGCAGCUGCAAAUCUAUGUUGUGCGGCUUAGAAAUUUUUGACUCAGAUUGGUUACUACACUGCCGUGAAUCGCACAUCUGUUCCAUAUGCAUAGGAAAUUUAGCAAACAUGGGACUGAUAUGCGAUUAACGAUAGUUUAUUCCAAUAUUAUCCAACCAUUACGGUGGCAAUGUUUCCAACAACGAACUAGAAACUCAUCGCAAUAUCUCAACUCACCCUCGUGACUUAGCCCUCGUCAAUGUGUAUAACAACCGUUGAAGACCUCCUUGUCAUCGACCGAUGGAUGCAUGGUCAAAGGAAUGGAACCAUCAACGGAGUCACGUUUCAAAAAGCACACCAGACGAAGACCAUAUACGAUUGGCAACGACGCGACGGUGGCAGCGGCGCCCGGCUGUCGUUCCACCCCCAAUAACGGCUGCUGGCUAUAGCAGCUACAUCAAGAACGGACAUCGCCGGGCGGCGUGACUCAUCCACACGAGGGAGCUGAGCAGCGAACCAUCAUCUUUUCUUGUAUACUGUAUUUGAGCGCGCUCCCAUAAACACUGCUGCGAGUCGGAGAGGUUCACGUUUUGUGUUUUGCUUUUUAUUCGACCUCUUUGUUUUGUCUUUAUCGUCUAUCAUCGUCGUUUUUCGUAGCCCGGUAUUAAUCAGCACCCAUUCGGGGAGGAACAUCCCACGGCGAUGAGCUGAAGAAAAAAAAAAUGCCGGCAAAAACAUGAGCUUCUUCUAACCAACCCCCCUUGAGCGAUUCGUGUAUAACCGGUAGACCACGAUUAUAUGUUGAAUCGUUUUUAGUUUGCCUUUUAAUGCAUAGUAGGGUGGUUUGCCGAUGUUGGUCCGAAGGUCGAUGUUCUUUUAACAUUUUUAUCAUUUUUUUUAUUUUACAAUAUUUUUUUCUGUGGUUUUCAUAUGGUAAAACAAUAUAAUAACAAUAUAUGGUAUAUUUUGUAUGAUUACGAUAAUGGUUCAUACGAUGGCAUUGGCAUAACUUAUGCACAAACCAUACAUUUUAUUGUUUUUUUUUAAUUACCAUACAAUAACCAUAAAAUCAACGGUUGGUUAAAGAAUGUGCCGUAGUUAUGUAUUGCAGGUGUUUGUGGUUACUUUUAUCAGCUUGGUGGAACGAAAAGAAGUAGAUGCCGCCUGGAUAUGUGUUGAAGUUGAUAUUCCAUGUCUACGCUUCAACCUUACGUACGUCCGUCCGUCAAGAUGCUCCCAUCCCCAUCCCUGCACAUUUCGGCUCGCGAUACGAAGACUAGUUGGAAACAGAGUUGUCAAAUAAGAAUUAAUAAAAUAGAAACGUAGGCGUAGGCACGUUCACAGGCAGGCUGAACUCAGUUUUUCGGAGGAAGAAGCGCCAGCAGGAAGAACGAGGUCGCGAAGCAAUGGAAAAGCUGCACACUGCACACGGAAGUUCUACGAGUAGCUGAUCCGCUCGUGCGGAGGCUCAGUGCCACAAGCCCACAUGUGCCGAGGCAAUCACGGGAAUAUUCUCACGAUCGAGCGUAAGGUGGCGGCAGCAUUACGAUGAGCACCUCAAAGGCGACUUUGCAAGCACCGAAGGUGGCGUGGUAACAAAUCUUGGAGUACGUGCGCAGGACGAAAGACUUCCGGUCCCUAACUUCCAAGAGAUAGAGGAGGUUGGCUGGUUGAAAAACAACAAAGCCGCUGGACCAGAUCAACUACCAAGCGAGUUACUGAAAUACGGUGGAGAAGGACUAGUGAGAGCACUAUACUGGGUCAUUAUUUAGAUUUGGGAAGAGAAAGCAUUGCCAGAGGAAUGGAUGGAAGGUAUUGUGUGUCCCAUCUACAAAAAGGGCGCAAGUUGGAUUGCGGGAACUAUCGCGCGAUCACACUACUGAGAGCUGCCUACAAGGUACUCUCCCAAAUUUUAUGCCGCCGUCUAUCACCGAUUGCAAGAGAGUUCGUGGGGCAAUAUCAGGCUGGAUUCAUGGGUGAACGCGCUACAACGGAUCAGUUGUUCGCCAUCCGCCAGGUGUUGCAGAAAUGCCGCGAAUACAACGUGCCCACACAUCACUUGUUCAUCGAUUUCAAAUCGGCGUAUGAUACAAUCGAUCGAGAACAGCUAUGGUAGAUUAUGCACGAAUACGGAUUCACGGAUGAACUGAUUCGAUUGAUCAAGGCGACGAUGGAUCGCGUGAUGUGCGUAGUUCGAGUAUCAGGGACACUCUCGAGUCUCUUCGAAUCUCGCAAAGGGUUGCGGCAAGGUGAUGGUCUUUCGUGCUUGCUUUUUAACCUGGCUUUAAAGGGUGUGAUAAGGAGAGUGGAGAGUACGAGUUCACGAAGUCCGUGCAGCUGCUUGGUUUCGCUGAUGAUAUUGAUAUUAGACCUCGCAAAUUUGAGACUGUGCCGAAAACGUGCAUCCGACUAAAGACUGAAGCCAGGCGAAUCGGACCAGUCAUCAAUGUGUCGAAUUCAAAGAACAUGAUGGCAAAGGACUCGAGGGUGGAAUUACCGCGCCCGCCACCCCGAAUUUCUAUCGACGGUGAUGAAAUCUAGCCGGUUGAAGAAUUCGUGUAUUUGGACUCGCUGGUGACCACCGACAACGACACCAGCAGAGACGCAUUGCGGUAGGACAUCGAGGUUACUUUGGAUUCCGUUGAUCUCUACGAUCGAACGAAGUUCUCCGUUACACGAAGUUAACUAUCUAUCCUUUAUGGGCACGAAACAUGCACUCUUUACUCUACGUGCAGAGGAUCAACGCACCCUUGGAGUUUUCGAACGAAAGGUGUUGUGUACCAUAUACCGCGGAGUGCAGAUGGAAGACGGGACUUGGAGAAAACGAAUGAACCACGAGCUGCAUCAGCUGCUGAGAGAACCAACCAUCGUCCACCCCACGAAAAUCGGGAGGAUAGCCACCCGCUUUAAAUGAUUCUCGAGAGCCAUCCGAUUGGUACAAGAAGACGUUGUGCGCAGCGACCUAGGUGGGUCGAUCAAGUGGAGGACGAUUUGUGGACCCUUCUCUGAGUGCGGAAAUGGCGACGAUUAGAAUGGAGAAUACUUUUACGUAUAGCAGAGGACCUCAGGCCUUAGCCUAAGCGGUGAGGUAAAGUAAGUAAAACAGAAACUUAUCGUGGAUUAUCGUGGGUUUAUGUAACGCUUUUUGUAUCAAAUGAAAGCAUUUAUCGAUAGAAUCGUUUAUGGCCGUUUAUAAUGACGGGCUUGGUGGUCUAGUGGCUACCGCUUCUGAUUCAUAUGCAGAAGGUCAUGGGUUCAAUCCCUGGCCCGUCCUUUUCAUCCUACUUUGUAUCUUUCUAUCCACUUUCUCUCGCUCUCUCUUCUCUACAUAUACAACUCAUGUAUAUUCAUAUGUUCAUAGCCAUCGCUAGAACCAGAAACGAAUUGGAAAAAAGUCGUUUCCCUUCCUUCCAACUUCCACUCACAGCACAGUGUAUAUAUAACGCCUAAAAGUUAUGCAACCAAAGCGUGCUGUGCCGCUUGUCCUUAUUCACCUUAUUCACCACACAAUCUAUCACGAACAUUAUAAAUAACCCCUAUCCAUGGAUCGCAUCACCGACCCAACGGUGACUCCCAGAUCUCCCAAAUACCCCAGUCCGUGCUCGUUGUGGGGGUGCAGAGGUGAUCUCGGUCUUUAGUAGCAACAACCAGCACACUCUAACAUUCCUUUCCCUUCCCAACUGACUAUAAGGACGUGGUCGGCGCCGUUAUUGAUCAAAAACAUGUAUGAGCUGUUUAAAAUUGCACUUUGAGAAUAAGUGGAGUGUCCCAGCCCUUAUUCAUUUGGAUCUCAGUGCAAUUGGUACCAGCUUAGAUCAAUCACGGAGGAGCAACCAUUGACAUGUAUAGUCAGAUUUGAUCGUUGAUCGUUAUCGUUAGAAUCGUCUAUGGCUGUUUAUAAAACGCUCAGAAAACAUAAGUUAACCCAAGUAGCUUAGGAAUCAAUGCUUGCGUUGCCGUUCUAGCGCGCCGUCGUAUUUUGAAGAAGUUAUCCCCCGCCUCUAGGUACGGAAAUGUGAGCCAGUCCACCGUACAGCAAGUUACCCUACUUUGGCGCCGGCUGCUCCACAGAUGCGUAUCGCCGUGCCACAACAAGCAGGCGUUUGAUUAUUUUUACACAUUCCACGGUUUUUGCACGGUUUCAUUCAUGGAUGCGGUUCUGUUUGAUUCAUUCUUGGCUUUGUUGGUUUGCUAGGUUCGAACCAACCAACCACGUUCAGAGGGAUAGUGUUAAGUAUGGAUACCGCACGGUGGUGCAUGGAGGGGUAAACGGAGGUCGGGCGAAGGCGUUGAGAAAUGCUAACCGAUUUUGAAGAGCGCCGGAUGGAACGACGGAACUAUUUUUUAUGGCCUGCGCUUUGUGGUCACUAUCGAGAAACGAUGGAGAUUGAGUGCUAUAGGUGUACGUUCGUCGCCAUGGCUUACGUGGCCGCAGUCAGGGAAGUCAGAUUUGCGGCGGUUCUGAAGCGUGACGAUGACGAUAUACACUGCCGGAGGAUGACCCCCAGUAAUGGUGUUCUGGAUAGGAUCAUGGUUAACAUUGCGGAAAGCUUUUGAACAGGGUUUUCUAUGAGCGGAGAAGUUUAGUGCGUGCCAUAAAUUUUUGCAUUAUUUACUUGAUGCAAUAUUUUUUUGCGAGCUAAAGAAGCCGACAAUGGAAUAGCGGAAGAUUGUUUAUUACAAGAUACUUAAGUAUUGCAUAGAACUUUUUAAUAAUGAGUCUGACAUGAGAUUUGUUUCAGACAGCUCCUAAAUUUAAUUUCUGGUUGCCAUAAAGAAUCCUGCUGAUCCCAGAUAUAUAAAACAACUUAAGAUUUUUGAUGUUUGAACUUCAAACAACUUUAUUUUCAAAGCUUAUUUCACAUGGGUUAGAGUCGACUGGAUUUAAAAUUUGUCGUACGCUACCCUUUUCAGAGUCUUACGUGCCACCUGUUCCGUCUUAUCCGCACAGACAAACAGACAUACUACUUAGAAGAAAUUUGUUUCAAAAUCAUCGUUUGGCAUCUCACUAGCACCCUCUAUAAUGCUCAAUCCGAGGCAUUCAUUUGCAGGUGUUGUUUUCCUCGGUUCGAUGUAAUAAUUUAGCAGAUGACGACUCCCUCGUGGCGUUACCCAUUCAUAAAACAUGAAUGAAGGUUUAUGAUUGAGUCAUUUUAUGUAAACAUUGAUCGGCGUCGCGUUCAUUUCUCUCGAAAAUUGAGAGGUGGUGUAGGCACAGCAGCGCCACCAUGACACAUGCGAGCACAGUCCGAACCACACUGCAUUUUCAAAAUGACCGUUAAAUCGUGCGACGAUUGCGAUUUGAGUGGUAUGUCUGUUUGUCUGUGCUAUAAAAUCUAAUUGCAAGUUGAUUCCCCUUCAAUGGCAGAAAAACCAGUAAAUCCAACUCUUGUUUGACUGUGCAGUUUAUCUUGCCAACAAACCGAUAGCCCAGAUUGCGGCAAUUCACUCCCGCAAGAUUGAUUGCCAACGACCCCUUCCGGAACAAAAGCACGUGAAGUUGACCGAGUGGAUUUAUGACACAAGCCCGCAUCGAUCGAAACUGUGGGUUCCAGCCGGCGUAUCGUAAAAGCAAUAAAGUAAUGAUCUACUCCCGAUCCGAUUCUGGUCCGGUUCAAUUGCACUCACGCCACGCUGCAACCAGAUGCCCCGUAGAACGGCUGUGGAGGAUGGAAUUCCAAUCACGUCCCCUUUUCUCUCACAUCCGACUUACGUGUUAGCGUGGUGGGCAAAAGAUUGCACAAAAACUCCAACUGAUGCGUGUCAGCGAAGACGUCGUCGCUCGCUAUCCUGAAUUCUACUUCCUCGAGUGUACGUACAGUUUUGGUCAUGCCGGGCGUUGCCCUAAAUGUGCAAGAACGAAAACAGCUCUACCAGACGCGGAAAUUAUCUUAUGAGCAAUGCAGACGCGCUAUCCGGCGGGCAGCUCGGACAAGUCGGUGCAACGCGCGGUUUUAGUGCGCUGCGCCGUGACUAGACAAGCCACACGAUACGCUUCACGCGGUAUCAACUUAAACUUAUUUUAUUCCAUUUUGCUGUUUAGAGCUCGGCGGCAGUGUGGAGCCAAGCGCGCGCUCAGGCAACAGUAAAAGCGACUGAUUUAUGUUGAUCGCACUAAUUUGAAAUCCAGAUGGAUUUUUAAUUUCCUAUGGAAAACAAGAGUACGUUACUUACGAUACACAUGGCUCGUGUAGAGGCAGUGUAUAGCGGAUUAGUGGCGGCGGCGUGGCGUCUAGUUAUCGGACAGGCGUCUGCUCGCGAUGCACUUUUAUUCAUAUUCUAGUGGAAAAUUGAGUGUAGAAGUAGCUUUCCAUAUAGCACUAACAGAGGUUUCUCUUUGUUCUAAAAAUGUGCAGUUCAAUCUCCUGUAACGCCGUCCCUGCCAAUGCCGAGCAUCAUCAUUUUGAGGAUCUUUUGUGUCCGAAACACGGUGAAAACCGGAUGAAUUCAGAAUGCUUAACAACCCGUUUGACCCCAGGUAAAAAAUAACAGUUCAAAAACUCGCCAACAGUCCAUUUCUCAACAGAAUUCAACCAAAUUUUGAACACAACACUAUAAUUUUGGAAAUAUACGGGAUCAAAAUUUUCAUGGACUUCUGGACGGAGUAAGGCCGGUGGGUCACUGGGUCAAGUCGGGCUGAAAAUAGGCCAAGUACGAUUUGCACCCCCACAACUUUCUUCCAUAACUCGCGCGGUUGGCCACCCCCGUCAGCACCGCGCUAAUGCUGAACACAAAAAGCGAGAUUUUUUCAACGUGUUGUACAAAAUACAACAGCGCGAUCGCUCGAGGGUUAAGGAAGCACGACACUAGACAACGGACUAGCAUGCAACGCCCAGUGGCACAGCCGAAAACUUUUCCUGACAGCUGCGGCGGGAAUCGAACCCGCGCUCCUCAGCACGAUGCGACUAAGAGCUUGGUGACCCUAGCCGCACGACCA